AUUGAACGCUGGCGGCAGGCCUAACACAUGCAAGUCGAGCGGAGGGGCGGACGGGUGCGUAAGGCCUAGGAAUCUGCCCGGUCGUGGGGGAUAAGGUCCGGAAAUGGGCGCUAAUACCGCAACCUCUUAGCUUAGCCUAGGUGGGAUUGGCUAGUUGGUGGGGUAAAGGCAUACCAGGGCGACGAACCGUACCUGGUCUGAGAGGAUGAUCAGUCACACUGGAACUGAGACACGGUCCAGACUCCUACGGGAGGCAGCAGUGGGGAAUAUUGGACAAUGGGCGAAAGCCUGAUCCAGCCAUGCCGCGUGUGUGAAGAAGGUCUUCGGAUUGUAAAGCACUUUAAGUUGGGAGGCGUUACCCACAGAAUAAGCACCGGCUAACUUCGUGCCAGCCGCCGCGGUAAUUC
rnacentral:rRNA from 1 species